rnacentral:rRNA from 1 species
GAUCCUGGCUUAGGACGAACGCUGGCGGCGUGCCUAACACAUGCAAGUCGAGCGGAGACAUGCGACGGAUGCGAAGUUUCGGAUGGAGCUGAAGAUGUAUGUUUAGCGGCGGACGGGUGAGUAACGCGUGAGCAACCUGUCCCUUACAGGGGGAUAACACAGCGAAAGUUGUACUAAUACCGCAUGAGACCACGGUGAGACAUCUCACAGGGGUCGAAGGAGCAAUCCGGUAAGGGGUGGGCUCGCGUCCGAUUAGAUAGUUGGUGAGGUAACGGCCCACCAAGUCGACGAUCGGUAGCCGACCUGAGAGGGUGAUCGGCCACAUUGGGACUGAGACACGGCCCAAACUCCUACGGGAGGCAGCAGUGGGGAAUAUUGGGCAAUGGGGGAAACCCUGACCCAGCAACGCCGCGUGAGGGAAGAAGGUUUUCGGAUCGUAAACCUCUGUCCUUGGUGAAGAGAAAGAGACGGUAGCCAAGGAGGAAGCCCCGGCUAACUACGUGCCAGCAGCAGC